AACCAGGUCCUUCCCAUUGUCCACACCAGCGUGAAUGUGCUUCUAGUGACAUGUUUGCAAGAUUCUUCAUGUUCCUUCCUCUCCCCCUGAAUUCUAAUUAUUAUCGUCAGUGUCUAUGGAAGUAGGAAAGUGUAUAGACAAGAAGAACCAUAAAAGCUAAACUUCAGUUGCCAAAUACGGUUCGCAACACGUUAUAUCUCUACUUAAGAGAGAUUAUCUCUUGUCUUUAUCCCUACCCAUAGCUAUGUGAGUCCGCUCACCUUUCUCUUCCAACAGUAGCUAGUAAGCUUGUAAUAGGAGAGAAAAAUGGCAAAUAAUUAAAUCUCACUCCAGAAGGCAACAUAGACAACAUUGAGCUAAGCUUUAGAAUGAGAUGGAAAUGCCCAGUAGUGCUUUUAUUUUCCUUAAAAGGUUUUCUGUUAGAAGCCCACGGUAGGUCCGUGACUCCCACAUGAGAGAGCCGUAUACACACAUUCGAUUAUUAGCCCCGCACGUAAUGUUUUAGUGCUGAUAAUUUUGUCGGAGCCAUUUUACCUUCUCAUUCUCACCAUAUCCUCUAUCCCUUAUUUCUAAUUUUCUUGCAUCUCCUUACUGCUGAGCCAAGAGAACUAGAUCGUUAUCUCUAAGCCCAGAUAAACGGGAACAUCACACCACAGUAGCAUCAUGCAGGAAAUGGAAAAGAAGCUCAGACCCAGUUUCCAAGGCCCUUCUCCCCUUGUAGAAGGAAUUGGGUAUCUCUCCUUUGGGCCAACUGUUGUGCUUUUAAGAAUUGGAAUGUCCAAACUAGAAUCAUCUCCAUUUGACAAACAUCCCGUCAGGGUGGUGCUUUCCCAAGAUGAACAACCCCGCACCAAGAUGGUGGCCAUCCAUACACCAGUUGGGGCACCUAGUUUAGGGAUCGGCCCGGAUAUUACACAAAAGAGGUUUUUAAGGCUUCAGAAUGGUUAAAGAGAACUGAGGUCAUAUGACAAGAGUAUAUCCUGAAAAGUUACUAUUGACUUUUCAUGACACACAAUCAGCAAGGAUGACUGCAGGAGAUUAUCUUCCAGCCCCUUCCCACUAGGCUGGCGGUCACACCCAAGUCCACACACCAGCUCUGGUCCUAUGUUGGGGGAAAUCAUCGAGAGCACAUGACUGCCGGUUGACCCUUAAGAGGGACCUGGACAACUGGAGGCUCCUUACCCCUUCCCCUGUUCUUGGAAUGUCUGUUUUGUAGCUGUGGUUCCCACAGAGGGAGCAGUUUCAAGGAUACAGUCUUGAGAGAGUAAAGUAUUGUUGCUUAUCGCCUCUAUAUAAACUUAAGAUUCUAGCUAGCUGGUGUGGAGAUCUUGCCCAAGACAAGCCCUGUCUGUAAGUUCCCUUGCUUAUUCAGCUUGCUACCUACCACUCUGGAGUGGCCUGCCUCUUGGUCUCUCCUUGCCCUCUCUGUAUGGGGGGAUGGGGGAGGGAGGUGUUCAGAUUUUACCUGGGAAGCUGCCAAAGUUGCGAACCCUCAUCCUGGUCUGCAACCUCUUCUUGUAUCCCCCACCCCACCCUCCUCCCCCACCCACCAUGGUCCUGAUUCUACCUUGUUGCAAUUUUGUAUCAUGCGUUCCUUGUUUCUUCAUUUAUUGAUCAUUAAACAUUCAUUAAAGGCUGGUUGUGGGCUUACAGUAAGACAAACAAGGCUGCUUAUUUCCCUCCUGGCUCUAGGUCAUGGGCAAGGGAACCUGAAGAAGGUGAUCAGGUGAAGGAGUGUGGGGGGUGUGGUAUAUGCACAGCCUGAAGGCAGAAGAGUAGCCAGCCUGCCCCGGUGGGGAAGCCAUGAGCUGCUCUGAGCUUGAGCCCAGAGUGGGAUGAGCUGGUAGUUGCUCAAAAGGACCUCCUCCUGGGUGCUGCUAAGCAGUCUGUGGUUUGGGGUCAUUGGUGGGCUUUCAGCAGGAAGGUGAAAUGGCUUGGUUUGUGGUUUUAUUUAUUUUUAUUUCUUUAUUAACAUGUAAUGUAUUAUUUGCCUCAGGGGUACCGGUCCCUGAAUCAUCAGGCUUACACACGUCACAGCACUCACCAUAGCGCAUACCCUGCCCGCGUCCCUCGCCCAGCCACCCCGCUCCCUCCCUUCCGCCCCCCCAGCAACCCUCAGUUUCUUUCCUGAGAUUAAGAGUCUCUCAUGGUUUGUCUCCCUCCCUGGUCCCAUCUUGUUUCAUUUUUUCCCUCCCUGCCCCCCCCACAGCCCCCCACGCUGCUUCUCAAAUGAUAUCAGUGAGAUCAUAUGAUAAUUGUCUUUUUCUGAUUGACUUAUUUUGCUUAGCAUAAUACUAGUUUUAGUAUUAUGCUAAUUUUAGUUCUAGCCACAUUGUUGCAAAUGUCAAGAUUUUGGUUUUUGUGAUGUCUGCAUAGUAUUCCUUUGUAUAUAUACACACACCACAUCUUUAUCCAUUCAUCUGUUGAUGGACAUCUAGGUUCUUUCCAUUGUUUGACUAUUGUGGACAUUGCUGCUAUAAACAUUCGGGUACCGUGCCCCUUAGGAUCACUACGUUUGUAUCUUUAGGGUAAAUACCCUGUACUGCAAUUCCUGGGUCAUAGGGCAGCUCUAUUUUCAGCUUUUUGAGGAACCUCCAUGCUGUUUUCCAGAGUAGCUGCACCAGCUUGCAUUCCCACCAACAGUGUAGGAGGGUUCUCCUUUCUCCGCAUCCUUGCCAACACCUGUUGUUUCCUGACCAGUUAAUUUUAGCCAUUCUGACUGGUGUGAGGUGGUAUCUCACUGUGGUUUUAACUGGUAUUUCCCUGAUGCCGAGUGAUGUGGAGCACUUUUUCAUGUGUCUGUUGGCCAUCUGGAUGUCUUCUUUGCAGAAAUGUCCGUUCAUGUCUUCUGCCCAUUUCUUGAUUGGAUUAUUUGUUCUUUGGAAAUUGAGUUUUAUAAGUUCUUUAUAGGUUUUAGAUACUAACUCUUUAUCUGUUAUGUCAUCUGCAAAUGUCUUCUCUCAUUCUUUCGGUUGUCUUUUGGUUUUGUUGACUGUUUCCUUAACUGUGCAAAAGCAUUUUACCUUGAGGAAGUCCUAAUAGUUCAUUUUUGCCCUUGCUUCCCUUGCCUUUGGUGAUGUUUCUAGGAAGAAGUUGCUGUGGCUGAGGUCAAAGAGGUUGCUGCCUGUGUUCUCCUCAAGGAUUUUGAUGGAUUCCUGUCUCACAGUGAGGUCUUUCAUCCAUUUUGAGUCUAUUGGUAUAGGGAAACGGUCCAGUUUCAUUCUUCUGCAUAUGGCUGUCCAAUUUUCCCAAUACCAUUUGUUGAAGAGACUGUCUUUUUCCAUUGGACAUUCCUGCUUUCUCAAAGAUUAGUUGACCAUAGAUGGUUUUGAUGAUAUUGAGGUAUGUGCCCUCUAUUCCUACACUGUGAAGAGUUUUGAUCAAGAAAGGAUGCUGUACUUUGUCAAAUGCUUUUUUAGCAUCUAUUGAGAGAAUCAUAUGGUUAUUGUGCUUUCUUUUAUUAAUGUAUCACAUUGAUCACAGGAAAAAUUUUAAAAAUAGAGUAAGAAAAAAAAUUUUUUUUAAUUUAACUUUGGAAGACCAAGAAUUGUGGGGAAAAAGCCAUGAAUUCUAUGUGUUGCUUUCCCCUAGCUCUGGAGUUCCACAGUUCUUAUUGAUUGGUAAACUUGGUCUUGGCUGGAUGUUCUUGCUGAUUUUCGGGGGAGGGGGGCUGUUGUAGUGAUUCACAAAUGUCUUUGCAUGAGUCGGGAUUGUACUGCCCUUGCCAGGGCCUGGGCUAAGUAAGCUGCUCAGGUUCAUUCUCGGGAGCUUUUGUUCCCUGAAUGCUUUCUGUAGAGCUUUGGAGGACGGGAAUGAUGAUGGCGGCCUCUCAAUCUCUGGCCUGGAAGAGCCAAGAGCUCAAGGCCCCAAUCCUCAGUGCACCCUCAGAGAAAAGCAGUCAGUCACUCCCAUCUUCCUGGUCUCUGGCCGUGCUCCCCCCACCUGUGACCAAACGUUUCUAUCUCUGGCACAUGGGCCCAAUUGGAGUCUCCAACCUCAGCAGAUUCCUGCAGUCCACACCCAUGCCACUCCUCCUGGAGGAGGAAGGAAGGGGUCUCCCUGGACCUGCCAUUUGUGGGGUCCCGACCCUAAAAGCAGUGGCCCUGCUGUGCCUUGGAUCAUGGUUUAAGCCUUGUUGGGAAGGACAAGUAGAGCUCACAAAGACGGGCCCACCACCCACCUACCACCACUCUGGAACUGGAAAUAGCACGUACAAAUGCCUUGUUAACUGCAGUAAGCCACAGCCAGCCCCGAAGGCAGGAAAUCCUAGAGUAAGUUUUGAUUCCGGUCUUUUCCUUUAUUCCCUCUGUUGAAAUAACCAUAUGUCAGGUUAGCUCACGACCAGGCUGGUUUAUGCCUGCUGACUAGCAAGGUUAUUAAUAUCACUUUGCUUUCUUUCUCAAAAAGUGUCUUGAUUUGGCUGAAUCAUUGUAUGGACUCCCCAUCCAUCUCCAGCCUUUCAACAGUUGGCUGAGAACGCUUCUUCUUAAAUGCUCCCCAUGUCCAUAUACCUCGUUCUCCGGUCUCAGGGCUGCGACGCCUGCUCAAGCUCCAUCACUGGGUGCCUGUCUGGACUAGAGCAGCCUUGUCCACCCUUCUCUUUCAAAUCCAGAUCGCCUAGAGCUGUGUUACUCGUAUUAGAAACUGAUGAGGCUUUUCAGUGAAAGCCAAAGAACAGAGAAGGGGAAGACCUGAAUUGGAUCUAUCGGUAAAUAUGAGUUGAUGAUGUAAUUUUCUAGCUAUUCCACAGAAAGAGCCUAGAAUCCAUGACACCCCAUGGCAGUGAGCUCACUUACAGACUAGGUGUUGUUUUGUACUUCCUGUCAGAAAAGAGCUGAGGCUCCUUAGAGAAUGGGCUGAUACUAGGUCUGAGUUAGGCACUACUGUGUGCCAGAAAGCAAGACGUAUUCAAAGGCUAUUUAAAAAUCUAUGUUAAAAGGACACAGAAGGCUGCUUUGAAUGGGAUCCCUCUUACCAAAUCUGGGAAAUUGAGGAACAAAAAAUAAAUCCUGCUAAAUGAUUAUAUUGAGUUAAAAAAAAAUUCAUGACUCUGUAAUGAUACUCAAAAAGGGUGGGUGGGAAGCUCUGCUCUGCAAGAGAUGAGUUAAUAAGUAUAGACUCUAGAUCUAGUCAAGUACCAUUUUGUUAACUCUCAAUCAGCGGUUAAAGCAAUGGUCGUCAUUGACCCACUGGGGAAAACCUAAAGGAGAAGGACGUACACGAUCGACAGUUUAGUUAUUAAUUAUAAAGCAGGUCUUUGCCUUGGAGAGAUCACCACCGUAUCGGCAUCUCCUCACACUUGGCAUCUCCAGGAGUGGGACCGUUUGACUUUAUGGGUCCCCUGGCCUGAUGCUGUGGGAGGAACACAACAGAACUUGCUGGAAGCAUUUGGCCCAAAUCAAAUCCUAACAAAACUGUGUCUUACAUUCUAUAGGUCAGUUGCCGUGGAUCUUAAAGUGUUUGAUAUCAAGAAGACAGGAGGGGCACCUGGGUGGCUCAGUGGGUUAAAGCCUCUGCCUUCGGCUCCGGUCAUGAUCCCAGGUCCUGGGAUCAAGCCCUGCAUCGGGCUCUCUGCUCAGCAGGGAGCCUGCUUCCUCCUCUCUCUCUGCCUGCCUCUCCACCUACUUGUGAUCGCUGUCUGUCAAAUAAAUAAAGAAAAUGUUAAAAAAAAAAAAAAAAGACAGGAACACUUUGAGGAGGAGAGAUAAUAACAGCCAAAGCAAUGCGUGAAAUUUGAUGGGAUUCUGGGUCAAAACAAAACAAAACAC